AGCAGCCGCGGUAAUUCCAGCUCCAAUAGCGUAUAUUAAAGUUGUUGCAGUUAAAAAGCUCGUAGUUGAAUUUCGGGAUCAAGGAAUCGGUCAUGCCUCGGUAUGUACUGGUUUUAUUGGUUCUCACCUUCUAAAGAACCAUAAUGUCAUUCAUUUGAUGUUAUGGGGAAUUAGGACUGUUACCUUGAAAAAAAUUAGAGUGUUUAAAGCAGGCUUACGCUUGAAUACAUUAGCAUGGAAUAAUGAAAUAGGACAUCAGAUUCUAUUUUGUUGGUUUCUAGGAUCGAUGUAAUGAUUAAUAGGGAUAGUUGGGGGCAUUAGUAUUCAAUCGUCAGAGGUGAAAUUCUUGGGUUUAUUGAAGACUAACUACUGCGAAAGCAUUUGCCAAGGAUGUUUUCAUUAAUCAAGAACGAAAGUUAGGGGAUCGAAGACGAUCAGAUACCGUCGUAGUCUUAACCAUAAACUAUGCCGACUAGGGAUCGGAUGAUGUUAAUUUUUUAAUGACUCA
rnacentral:rRNA from 1 species